rnacentral:rRNA from 1 species
CCCUUAGAUGUUCUGGGCCGCACGCGUGCUACACUGAGUAAUUCAAUGGGUAAGGGAACGCUAGAGCAUUACCUAAUCUUGAAAUUUGCUCGUGAUGGGGAUCGACGGUUGCAAUUUUCCGUCGUGAACGAGGAAUACCUUGUAGGCGCAUGUCAUCAUCAUGCGCCGAAUACGUCCCUGCCCUUUGUACACACCGCCCGUCGCUCCUACCGAUUGAGUGAUCCGGUGAGGCUCUGGGACCUGGACGGAAAGAUCGUUUCGCUUGUUCUGUUUGGGAAACUUGGUCGAACCUUAUCAUUUAGAGGAAGGAGAAGUCGUAACA